rnacentral:rRNA from 1 species
UACGGGGGGGGCAAGCGUUGUUCGGAAUUACUGGGCGUAAAGGGUGCGUAGGUGGCGUCGUAAGUCGGGUGUGAAAUUUCGGAGCUCAACUCCGAAACUGCAUUCGAUACUGCGGUGCUUGAGGACUGGAGAGGAGACUGGAAUUUACGGUGUAGCAGUGAAAUGCGUAGAGAUCGUAAGGAAGACCAGUGGCGAAGGCGGGUCUCUGGACAGUUCCUGACACUGAGGCACGAAGGCCAGGGGAGCAAACGGG